rnacentral:rRNA from 1 species
AUUGAACGCUGGCGGCAGGCCUAACACAUGCAAGUCGAGCGAGCGGCGGACGGGUGAGUAAUGUCUGGGAAACUGCCUGCUGGAGGGGGAUAACUACUGGAAACGGUAGCUAAUACCGCAUACCAUCGGUUGUGUUCCGAUGGGUUUGGCUAGUAGGUGGGGUAACGGCUCACCUAGGCGACGAUCCCUAGCUGGUCUGAGAGGAUGACCAGCCACACGGGAACUGAGACACGGUCCAGACUCCUACGGGAGGCAGCAGUGGGGAAUAUUGCACAAUGGGCGAAAGCCUGAUGAAGCCAUGCCGCGGGUAUGAAGAAGGCCUUCGGGUUGUAAAGUACUUUCAGCGGGGAGGCGUUACCCACAGAAGAAGCGCCGGCUAACUCCGUGCCAGCAGCCGCGGUAAUAC